rnacentral:rRNA from 1 species
GACGAACGCUGGCGGCGUGCUUAACACAUGCAAGUCGAACGGAAAGGCCCUGCUUUUGUGGGGUGCUCGAGUGGCGAACGGGUGAGUAACACGUGAGUAACCUGCCCUUGACUUUGGGAUAACUUCAGGAAACUGGGGCUAAUACCGGAUAGGAGCUCCUGCUGCAUGGUGGGGGUUGGAAAGUUUCGGCGGUUGGGGAUGGACUCGCGGCUUAUCAGCUUGUUGGUGGGGUAGUGGCUUACCAAGGCUUUGACGGGUAGCCGGCCUGAGAGGGUGGCCGGCGACAUUGGGACUGAGAUACGGACCAGACUCCUACGGGAGGCAGCAGUGGGGAAUAUUGCACAAUGGGCGGAAGCCUGAUGCAGCAACGCCGCGUGCGGGAUGACGGCCUUCGGGUUGUAAACCGCUUUCGCCUGUGACGAAGCGUGAGUGACGGUAAUGGGUAAAGAAGCACCGGCUAACUACGUG